rnacentral:tRNA from 1 species
GGCAGAGUAGCUCAGUUAGGUAGAGCACGAUUAUUUCUUCAUCUCUUGUUGCAACGUGCGCCCUUUUAAUGGCAUAGCUGGCAGAUGCCGAAGGAAUUACAGCAUAGGGUGCCCGAGGUCGCAGGUUCGAAUCCUGCCGCUGCUA